AUUGAACGCUGGCGGCAGGCCUAACACAUGCAAGUCGAACGGUAACAGGAAGCAGCUUGCUGCUUCGCUGACGAGUGGCGGACGGGUGAGUAAUGUCUGGGAAGCUGCCUGAUGGAGGGGGAUAACUACUGGAAACGGUAGCUAAUACCGCAUAAUGUCGCAAGACCAAAGAGGGGGACCUUCGGGCCUCUUGCCAUCGGAUGUGCCCAGAUGGGAUUAGCUUGUUGGUGGGGUAACGGCUCACCAAGGCGACGAUCCCUAGCUGGUCUGAGAGGAUGACCAGCCACACUGGAACUGAGACACGGUCCAGACUCCUACGGGAGGCAGCAGUGGGGAAUAUUGCACAAUGGGCGCGAGCCUGAUGCAGCCAUGCCGCGUGUAUGAAGAAGGCCUUCGGGUUGUAAAGUACUUUCAGCGGGGAGGAAGGGAGUAAAGUUAAUACCUUGGCUCAUUGACGUUACCCGCAGAAGAAGCACCGGCUAACUCCGUG
rnacentral:rRNA from 1 species